rnacentral:rRNA from 1 species
UACGUAGGGUGCGAGCGUUAAUCGGAAUUACUGGGCGUAAAGCGCGCGUAGGCGGCUUGUUAAGUCGGAUGUGAAAUCCCUGGGCUCAACCUAGGCAUUGCAUACGAUGCUGGCAAGCUAGAGUAUAGGAGAGGAAGGUAGAAUUCCAGGUGUAGCGGUGAAAUGCGUAGAGAUCUGGAGGAAUACCGAUGGCGAAGGCAGCCUUCUGGCCUAAUACUGACGCUGAGGUGCGAAAGCAUGGGGAGCAAACAGG